rnacentral:lncRNA from 1 species
UCAACUCCUGUUAUUCAUUGUGACUUAAAGCCUAGUAAUGUAUUGUUGGACGAAAAUAUGGUUGCUCAUUUGAGUGAUUUUGGCAUAGCAAAGCUUUUAAGUGGAGAAGAUGAGUCUACGAUGCGAACAAAAACCCUUGCCACUAUAGGUUAUAUGGCACCAGGUUUGCUUCAAACAACUUUUUUUGUUGGUGCAUGUACCCUCCCUUUAAAAAAUAUAUAAUAAUUAAUACUUAAUAUAUUAUUAAAUACGAAAAUAUCAAUAUUUGACUACACAAAUUUAUGUCAUUAGGUCCUUAAAAUUUAAAAUUGAAGACACAAAAUGAAAUAUAUAUAUAAAUUUCAUUCUCAUAGGAAAUGAUCCUCUUAUAAUCUUAAAAUAUUUGAGCUUUGAAAGAUUUUUUAAAACAAAUGUACUUUUAUUUUUGUACAAUCAAUAUUUACUUAUUUAUUAUAUUUUUAUUCAUUAACUAUCAAUCAUGUGAGUAUAUUUACUCAGAAAUAUCAUAUCAAGGAAGAAUCUUGAUCCCACGCACACGCAAAUAUGUUAAUUUCUAUACGCUUCACUUACCUGUAGAAUCAAUUAUCUAAAAUGCAAGUUUGUGGCCACAAAAAAGGCCAAAGAAAGAAGAUAAUAACAAUUGACUUGUAUAUUAUACUCAUACAAUCCACUCGACAUAAUGAUAUCAUUUUAAUAAGGCAAUGGCUGAUGAUCUCCAUGACUCCAUUGAAAAACUAAUUCAAUUUUUUUUGCUUCAUUUAACUUUUUGGUUGUUGAAAAUAACCUUAAUUAUCAAAUAAUUGGAGAAAGAGUAAAGAACAUUUAAAAAAUUUAUGAGCAAAAAAAAAAGGAGAAGUUGAAGAGAAAGGGUGCUUGCAGAAGUGGGUGUCAAAGAAAAAUCAGUCCAUAAGAAUUAUUGCGGUUAUUUUUUGGCAAUAUAAAUUUUUUAUAGCAAGUAAAAAUUAAUUUUUUUCCGAUUUACUAAAAAAUUAACUAAAAACUUCUGCGACAACAUUUUUUAUGGGUGCAUAUAGCCUCCCUUUAAAAAAAUAAUAAUAAUUAAUGCUUAAUAUAGUAUUAAAUACGAAAAUGUCAAUAUUUGAUUACUCAAAUUUAUAUCAUUAGGUCCUUAAAAUUUAAAAUUAAAGAUACGAAAGGAAAUAUAUAUAAAUUUCAUUCUCAUGGAAAGGAUUCUCUUAUAAUUUUAUAAUAUUUGAGUUUUGAAAUUUUUUUGAAACAAAUGUAAUUUUAUUUGUGUACAAUCAAUAUUUACUCAUUUAUUAUAUUUUAAUUUAUUUAUUAUAUUUAGUCGGAAAAAUUAUAUCAAGAGAGAAUCCUAAUUUCACGCAAACACAAAUACAAGACAAAUAUGUUAAUUUCUAUACUAUUCACUUUCCUGUAGAAUCAAUUAUCUAAAAUGCAAGUUUGUGGCUACAGAAAACUCGCCAAAGAAAGAAGAUAAUAACAAUUGAGCAUUGAUAGCAAAACUAAUGCAUCAUUUUCUUCUUGACUUGAUGAGAUGGCGCCAUCACAAAAAAACAAGUACCUUAAUUGACGGGCACUGAGUGAUGUGAAUACUACCAGCCAGUUCAUCUCUUCCAGUCUUGCUUAAUCACAAUCACAAACACCUCGAGAUCGACAUUUGCAUUAUAUAUAUGUUCAGCAAUCGAAACACCUUGCAUUACCAAAUAAACCAGUAACAAACAAAGCAAUCUUUCAUGGAGAGAAACUUUAGUCUCAGUAUGAUCACUGUGUCAUUAACCCACUGCCUGCUUCUUUGCUUGGUUGUUGCAGCAGCAGCAGCAGCAGCAGCAAGCAACAAUAUUACCACAGACCAACAAGCUCUUCUUGCCCUGAAAGAUCAUAUAAUUUAUGAUCCGACCAACCUUUUAGCCCAUAAUUGGACCUCGAAUACCUCUGUUUGUACCUGGAUUGGCAUCACUUGUGAUGUCAAUAGCCAUAGAGUCACAGCCUUAGAUAUUUCUCAAUUCAAUCUACAAGGCACCAUCCCUCCUCAACUUGGAAACCUCUCUUCACUCACAACACUUAAUCUUAGUCAUAACAAGCUUUCUGGAAGCGUUCCCUCCUCCAUCUACACCAUGCAUAGGCUAAAAUUUCUUGACUUCACUGAUAACCAGCUCUCUGGUUCGGUGUCUUCCUUCGUCUUCAACAUGUCUUCAAUAUUAGACAUUCGUUUGACCAAUAACAGACUUUCUGGUGAGCUUCCGAAAAAUAUUUGCAACUAUCUUCCUCAUUUGAAAGCCCUUUUUUUGGACAAAAACAUGUUUCAUAGCAAAAUUCCUUCUGCUUUAUCAAAGUGCAAACAACUGCAACAAUUAAAUUUGCAGUUCAAUAAUUUAUCCGGUGCAAUACCAAAAGAAAUCGGCAACUUGACUAGGCUCAAAGGGAUAUAUCUCGGCGCCAACAAACUCCACGGUAUGUUCAUAAUACUAUGUAAAUAUUUUAAUUUCUCACUUGUUAUUUUUCUUGAAUACUUUAGAUAAGAUCAUGUAACGGAGAUUUUUUUGCAUCUAUGUUAAUUUGCCAGGUGAGAUACCGCACGAAAUCGCUAAUCUUCGAAAUCUAGGGGAUUUAGUGCUUGGAAUGAACAACCUAGUUGGUGUGUUACCAGCUCCAAUCUUCAACAUGUCAACACUGAAGGUACUUAUCCUCAUAAACAACUCUCUCAGCGGAAGUCUUCCAUCAAGAAUAGACCUUUCACUUCCAACGGUUGAGGUUCUUAUCUUGUCACUUAAUAGAUUUUCUGGAACCAUUCCUAGUUCCAUCACCAAUGCUUCUAAGCUCGCCUUGCUAGAAUUGGGAGUAAACACAUUUUCGGGAUUUAUUCCAAACACAAUUGGUAAUUUAAGAAACCUUGAGUGGCUCGGCUUGGGUAAUAACUACUUGACAUCUUCAACCUCAAAAUUGAGCUUUCUUUCCUCUUUGGCAAAUUGCAAGAAAUUAAGAGACAUAGGCUUAACAGGCAAUCCACUCAACGGUAUCCUUCCAAGUUCAAUAGGUAAUCUUUCCAUGUCUUUGAAAACACUUUACAUCGGCAAUUGCAGUAUUAGUGGCAACAUUCCUCAAUCAAUUGGCAAUUUAAGCAACUUAUUGGCCUUAGUAUUAGAAGUCAAUAAAUUGACUGGACCUAUCCCAACUACAUUCGGCCGACUGCAGAAACUCCAAGGCUUAUAUCUUGCAUUCAAUAAGUUGGUAGGUUCAUUCCCAGAUGAGCUUUGCCAUCUAGCAAGGCUGGAUCAAUUGGUCUUAUUUGGCAAUAAGCUUUCAGGAUCUAUACCUUCAUGCUUAAGUAAUCUCACUUCUCUGAGAUCUCUCUACUUAGGGUCCAAUAGGUUUACUUCUGUCAUUCCCUCAACUUUCUGGAGCCUAAAAGACAUCUUGUUCUUUGACUUUUCAUCAAAUUUCUUGGUGGGUCCUCUUUCUUCAGACAUAGGUAAUUUGAAGGUGCUUCUAGGAAUAAAUUUAUCAGAAAAUAACUUAUCGGGUGAUAUGCCAGCCACAAUUGGAGGACUAAAAAACCUUCAAAUUAUGGACCUAGCAUAUAAUAGAUUGGAAGGCCCAAUUCCUGAAUCAUUUGGUGACUUGACAAGUUUGGAGGUUUUGAAUUUGUCAAAUAAUAAAAUCUCCGGGUCUAUUCCAAAAUCCUUGGGGAAACUCUUUUACCUCCGAGAGUUAAAUCUCUCUUUCAAUGAACUAGAAGGUGAGAUUCCUAGUGGAGGAAUUUUUGCCAACUUCACAGCUGAGUCAUUUAUGGGAAAUGAGUUAUUGUGUGGUUUACCAAAUCUUCAAGUCCAACCAUGCAAAGUUAGCAAGCCGAGGACAGAACAUAAAUCAAGGAAAAAGAUACUUCUCAUUGUGAUUGUUUUGCCAUUGAGUAUUGCUCUAACGAUAGCAAUCACUCUAGCUCUCCAAUCUAAGCUGAUCGAAUGUGGAAAAAGAAGCACGGUGUUAUCAAAUGAUAGUAUCUUGUCAUCACAAGCAACACUAAGAAGAUUUUCAUACUUAGAACUUUUACGAGCAACAGAUAAUUUUGCUGAAAACAGCAUAAUUGGCAGAGGAGGUUUUGGUUCCGUUUAUGGAGCAAGACUUGAAGAUGGGAUGAAGAUUGCAAUAAAAGUGUUUCACCAGCAAUGUGCAAGCGCAUUGAAGAGUUUUGAGGCUGAAUGUGAAGUGUUAAAAAAUAUUCGCCAUCGAAACCUUAUCAAAGUUAUCAGCAGUUGCUCGAACGAUGACUUCAAAGCAUUAGUCCUAGAAUACAUGUCCAACGGGAGCUUAGGGGAUUGGCUGCAUUCGAGCAAUUACGUGCUGAAUAUUUUUCAAAGGUUGAACAUAAUGAUUGACGUUGCAUCAGCUUUAGAAUAUCUCCACUUUGAUCAUUCAACUCCUAUUAUUCAUUGUGACUUAAAGCCUAGUAAUGUAUUGUUGGAUGAAAAUAUGGUUGCUCAUUUGAGUGAUUUUGGCAUAGCAAAGCUUUUAAGUGGAGAGGAUGAGUCUACGAUGCGAACAAAAACCCUUGCCACUAUAGGUUAUAUGGCACCAGGUUUGCUUCAAACAACUUUUUUUUAAAGUUCAUUUUAAAUUUUCCAACUUAUUGAUUUUUACAAUCCUCAUAUCAAAAUGUUAUUGAUUAUUUAUCUAAUUGUGAAAUUAAUUUGAUUAAUAGAGUACGGCAUUGAAGGAGAAGUAUCUACAAAAAGUGAUGUUUACAGCUAUGGGAUUAUGUUGAUGGAAACUUUUACCAAGAAAAAACCCACAGAUGAAAUUUUUGUUGGGGAAUUGAGCUUAAAGCGUUGGGUUAAUGACUUGCUUCCUACUUCAUUAGUGGAAGUUGUGGACAAAACUCUGCUAAGUGGAGAGGAAAAACAUUCUGCAGCAAAGGAGCAAUGUCUGUUGUCUAUCUUUAGUUUGGCUCUGGAGUGUACAAUGGAAUCACCGGAAAAGAGGAUUAAUGCAAAAGAUAUUGUUACUAGAUUACUCAAGAUAAGAGACACAUUGAGUAAAAGGAUCGGAAAUUUAAGUUAAUUUCGUUUGCUUUCAUUGAUAGUUAAUCUGAAUUCAUGUAAUAAGUGUAGGAAUCUUAUAUCUUUUCCUUUCAUAUAUUUUUUUUUCUUGAGAAAACUGUUGUAGUCAUCUUGUUUCCAUGGACAGAGUUGAUUUAGUUCUUCCAAAAAAUGCUACUGAUGACCUUUGUUUAAUACUUUCUCUUUUUUUGCAUGUGUUUAGGUAGAACAGUGGUUUGGCUGCAGGCUAAGAAGUCUAACUACACUAAAAGAAUAUGAUUUAAUUUAUUAAACAAAACUUCAAGUUCAAGAAAAGUAUUUCACUGCCCCCAAUGCUUUGGACACCUACUUGUUGCGGACCGCCCAAUUCGCUAGCCCAAUUGCCCACAAUUUCGGGCUAGAGAGCCAACACAAGGCCAAGAGUGCUAGCUUGGCCCAAUUCCGAAAGGUUCUAGGCAACUCUAGCACAUGUGAACAUGUAAAUAUUCUAGAAUACUUUAUACAAUUCCAGCACAUGCAAAUAGCUAGGAAAUUGUAAAAUACUCUAGAGUUUGACCAAGUUUGGCAAAGUUAGGCAAAGUUAGGCAAAGCCUCCCCUAUAAAUAUGGGAUGGCAUUAGGCAUUUGUAUCCAAAAAGCUUUGUAAGCAACUUAAGCAUUGUAUUCUCUCUUUGUGCAAUACAAGUUUUCUUCUUUGGCUCAAUUGCUCUCUUCUCUAGUUCGAGAAGCUCUAGGCUUACUUAGCAACAUUCGGCAAAGUUGUCUAAGUGCCGCACGGGUUAGCUGCGCAAAACACUCAUCUCGUGACAAGUGGUAUCAGAGCUAAGGUUUGCACGCACGCAAAUUAGCUCACGAAGCAAUGGCCAACCCUUCGAACGUAGCACAAGAGGGUGUUGUUGGUGUGGAUGUUCCACCGGAACUAAGCCGUGGCCGAGAGGGAGAACGUGCCCAAGGCAAGACUCGCGGCAAGUCCAAGGCCCUAUCCGUGGAUGCGUUGGAGCCUCGUGUAGGCACUCUCGAAAUCGCAUUGUCCACCGCUCAAGAAAGCCUCGAGGGAUUGGAGGAACGAGUGGACGGACUCGAGGGAGAAUACGCCGAAUUCACGGUGGCAACCAAAGCUCUCAUCCAAGAACAAGCAAACACUCUUCGAGGUGAGUGUUCAAGACGAACUACGCGCUGUCCGUGCGGAAGUGGAUGAAGUCCGCUCGGAUUGGGCAUGGCACAAGCGCACACUCUCCUCAAGUCCAGCUUCCGCAAACUCGAGUGAUGCGCGCCGCAUUGACGUGCCAAAGCCCGACACCUACGAUGGCACACGCAAUGCCACAAUCGUGGAUAAUUUCCUCUUUGGUCUGGAUCAAUACUUUAAUGCCAUGGGUGUACGAGAUGAGGCAUCGAAAGUGGGCACUGCACCCACCUAUCUUAGAGGCGCUGCACAACUAUGGUGGCGUCGCAAACAUGGCGAGAUGGGCAAGGGCAUUUGCACCAUCGACAUUUGGUCCGACUUCAAGCAAGAACUCCGAAAGCAGUUCGCCCCAAGCAAUGCGGAGAAGGAAGCGCGAGCGCGCUUACGUCGCCUCAAGCAAUCGGGUAGCAUUCGGGACUACAUCAACGAGUUCACUACCCUUAUGUUGGAGAUAAGCGACAUGUCCAACAAGGAUUCACUCUUCUACUUCCAAGAUGGCCUCAAGGAUUGGGCCAAAACCGAGCUUGAUAGGCGUGGUGUUCAAACACUUGACGACGCCAUCGCCAUUGCGGAAUCGCUCACCGAAUACUCUACCCAAUCCAAAGACAAGAAGUCUAGCCAAGGCAAAGGUGGGGGAGAGAGUCGUAAGGACAAGGGCAACAACCGCAAAGAUUGGGGGCAGAAAAAGCCGCCUAGCAACAAGAGCUGGCAGGGAAAAUCGGAGGGCAAGAAGGAGGCGCCAAAGCCACGAAGCCCAUGCUUCAUAUGCAAUGGUCCUCAUUGGGUACGCGACUGUCCGGAGAAGCGGUCGCUUAAUAUUCUUGCUGCCCAACUCAAGAGCAACCCCACAAUGUCCGUGGAGGAACCCCAACUUAGCAUGGGUUCUCUCCAACGCCUCGGCGCCCUCAACCGCCAACAGCCCGCGCUAGUCAAGAAAGGGCUCAUGUAUGUUAGCGCAAAGGUAAACAGCCAGUCCGUUCGCGCGUUGCUAGACACGGGAGCAACACACAAUUUCGUGUCCGUAGAUGAGGCCAAGCGUUUAGGCCUCAAGGCCACCAAGGAAUGAGGCACAAUGAAGGCAGUAAACUCACCCGCCAAGCCAAUUGCGGGAAUUGCACAAGGCGUACACAUCACACUUGGUACGUGGAGCGGAAAGCUUGACUUCUCCAUCCUGCCCAUGGACGACUUCAAGAUGGUCCUGGGCAUGGAAUUCUUCGACCAAGUCUAUGCCUUCCCGCUGCCUACUACGAACUCCCUAAGCAUCCUCGAUGGGAGUAAAGCAUGCAUGGUACCCACGGAGCGAGGCAAGUCCGAGGAGAAGACACUCUCCACCAUGCAAUUCAAAAGGGCUUUCAAGAAGGACCCAAGCUUCUUGGUCUCCAUUCGGGAACUAAAUGAGGAAAGAAAUAGCGGAACGUCGCCAAGCCAAGUCCCUCCGCAAAUAUACAGAGUCCUCAAUGAGUACGAGGAUGUGAUGCCUCCAGAACUUCCGAAGAAGCUCCCACCUCGACGAGAGGUAGAUCAUGCGAUCGAGCUAGAACAAGGCGCGAAGCCAACAGCCUUGGCGCCCUACCGUAUGGCGCCAUCUGAAUUAGAGGAGUUGCGGAGACAACUCAAAGACUUGCUGGACGCAGGCUACAUUCGCCCCUCAAAGGCCCCAUUCAGUGCACCCGUGCUCUUCCAAAAGAAAAAGGAUGGAUCGCUGCGGAUGUGCAUCGACUAUAGAGCGCUCAACAAGAUCACUAUCAAGAACAAGUAUCUGAUUCCCGUGAUUGCGGACUUGUUCGACCAGCUUGGCAAAGCGCGGUACUUCACCAAACUUGACUUGCGCUCCGGGUAUUAUCAAGUGCGCAUCGCCAAGGGAGAUGAACCGAAGACAGCGUGCACAACAAGGUACGGGUCUUUCGAAUUCCUUGUGAUGCCUUUUGGUCUUACUAAUGCACCCGCCACAUUUUGCACGCUCAUGAACAAGGUGCUCCAACCAUUCCUCGACUGCUUCGUGGUCGUGUACUUGGAUGACAUAGUGGUGUAUAGCACCACGCUCGAGGAUCAUGCCCGACAUUUGCGACAAGUCCUCCAAGUACUUCGAGACAACGAGCUCUUCCUCAAACUAGAGAAGUGCUCGUUUGCCCAACAAGAAGUGGAGUUCCUUGGCCAUAAGAUUGCGGGUGGGAAGAUCAUGAUGGAGAAUGACAAAGUAAAGGUCAUCCUCGAUUGGGAGCCUCCCUCGAAAGUACCCGAACUUCGCUCAUUCCUUGGACUGGUGAAUUACUACCGCCGCUUCAUCAAGGGCUAUUCAGCUAAGGCGGCACCCUUGACGAAUAUGCUCAAGAAAAACAGAACAUGGCAUUGGUCCGAAGAGUGCCAACGCGCAUUCGAGGAGUUGAAAAGAACAAUUUCGGAGGAACCCGUCCUCGCUCUUCCGGACCACACAAAGCCCUUCGAAGUGCAAACGGAUGCCUCGGAUUUCGCCAUAGGAGGAGUCCUUAUGCAAGAAGGCCACCCUAUAGCGUUCGAGAGUCGAAAGCUAAAUGAUACAGAACGCCGCUACACGGUGCAAGAAAAGGAGAUGACCGCAAUCAUACAUUGCUUGCGGGUGUGGCGACAUUACUUGCUUGGCUCGUACUUCACGAUUAUGACGGAUAACGUGGCGACAAGCUACUUUCAAACUCAGAAGAAGUUGAGUCCGAAGCAAGCACGGUGGCAAGAUUUCCUUGCGGAAUUCGACUACCGGCUGGAGUACAAACCGGGGAAAGCCAAUGUCGUUGUGAACGCUCUAAGCCGCAAGGCCGAAUUGGCGACACUUAGCAUGAGCCAACCAAAGUCUGACCUUGUCUCACGCAUCAAGGAAGGCCUCCAACAAGAUCCGCUAGCCAAGGAUUUGCUGGAGAAGGUGCUCGAGGGAAAGACAAGACGAUUUUGGCAAGAGGAAGGCAUCCUCCUCACCAAGGGAGAUCGGCUAUUCGUGCCAAGGUGGGGAAACUUGCGGAAGGAAGUAAUCAAGGAGUGCCACGACUCUAAGUGGGCCGGUCACCCAGGAAUCGAGCGCACCACCGCACUAGUUCAAGCCUCGUAUUUUUGGCCGCACAUGAGGGACGACAUCGAGGCAUAUGUGCGAACUUGUCUUGUGUGCCAACAAGACAAAGUGGAUCAUCAACUUCCAGCGGGAUUGUUGGAGCCGUUACCACUAGCAACAAGGCCAUGGGAAAGUGUCUCCAUGGAUUUCAUCACAUCGCUGCCCAAGUCCGAAGGUUGUGGAAGCAUCAUGGUCGUUGUCGACCGAUACAGCAAAUAUGCCACAUUCAUUGCCGCACCAGCCGAUUGCAAAGCGGACGAGGCAGCCCGCCUAUUCGUCAAGCACAUUGUGAAGCUUUGGGGAGUUCCGAAGAGCAUUGUGAGCGACCGAGACCCUCGAUUCACUGGACGCUUUUGGACGGAACUCUUCAAAAUGUUGGGGACCGAUCUCAAGUUCUCGACAAGCUUCCACCCACAAACGGAUGGGCAGACCGAGCGCAUUAAUGGCCUCCUCGAGAUGUACCUGAGGCAUUAUGUGAGCGCUCACCAGCGGGAUUGGGCGAAGCUACUCGACAUUGCCCAAUUUUCUUAUAACUUGCAGCGAAGUGAGGCUACGGGCAAGAGUCCAUUCGAGAUCAUCAUGGGAUUUCAGCCCAUGACCCCCAAUGCCAUAGCCUCGACUUACGGAGGGAAAAGCCCCGCGGCACACAAGCUCGCCCGCGAAUGGCAUGAGGAAGCGGACAUCACGCGAGCCUAUCUCGACAAAGCCGCGAGGAAAAUGAAGAAAUGGGCUGAUACAAGGAGACGGCAUGUUGAGUACAAGGAAGGAGAUCAAGUCAUGAUCAAGCUCCUACCCCAACAAUUCAAGACUUUGCGGAAAGUUCACAAGGGGUUAGUGAGGUGCUACGAGGGAUCCUUCCGAGUUGUUCGACGUGUAGGCAACGUCUCGUAUCAACUCCAACUUCCGCCAAGACUCAAGAUCCAUCCGGUCUUCCAUGUGAGCCUUCUCAAGCCAUAUCAUGAAGACAUGGGAGAACCAAGUCGCGGAGAAUUGAGGCGCGCGCCAACUGCCGUUGUCACCGCGUUCGACAAAGAUGUGGACUACAUCAUUGCGGACCGAACGGUUUCGAGGAGGGGCGUGCCAGCACAUAGCGAGUACUUGGUGAAAUGGAAAAACCUCCCCGAGAGCGAAGCCACUUGGGAACGGGAAGAUGAUUUGUGGCAAUUCGCUGAGCACAUCCAGCACUUCAAGCACGAGAGCGCGACGAGGACGCCGCGAGCUUAGGUGGGGGAGGAUGUUGCGGACCGCCCAAUUCGCUAGCCCAAUUGCCCACAAUUUCGGGCUAGAGAGCCAACACAAGGCCAAGAGUGCUAGCUUGGCCCAAUUCUGGAAGGUUCUAGGCAACUCUAGCACAUGUGAACAUGUAAAUAUUCUAGAAUACUUUAUACAAUUCCAGCACAUGCAAAUAGCUAGGAAAUUGUAAAAUACUCUAGAGUUUGACCAAGUUUGGCAAAGUUAGGCAAAGUUAGGCAAAGUUAGGCAAAGCCUCCCCUAUAAAUAUGGGAUGGCAUUAGGCAUUUGUAUCCAACAAGCUUUGUAAGCAACUCAAGCAUUGUAUUCUCUCUUUGUGCAAUACAAGUUUUCUUCUUUGGCUCAAUUGCUCUCUUCUCUAGUUCGAGAAGCUCUAGGCUUACUUAGCAACAUUCGGCAAAGUUGUCUAAGUGCCGCACGGGUUAGCUGCGCAAAACACUCAUCCCGUGACAUACUGGUAGGUAUGUACGUGUCCUCAACUUUUUUUCGGAGCACAAAAUUCGAGUCCCAUGGAGACUCAAACAUUCCUUUCCCACAUCCCGAGCACGCUAAAUUCAUCAGACUAACAACUGUGACAUAUACAAGAGUGAAAUGUUUAGAGAACGCUAAGUACUAUGAAAGAGAUUAGUUUACGAAAACUGAAGCCAAGGGUUCAUAAAAAAGUGCAAAGAGAAUAAAGGACAACGCUUAUGUAAAGCGACAUAGUUGUAUUCAUAGCACAAUGUCAUAUUCAUACAGAGAUCUAGAAUAUUAUUUACAGCUGGUAAGGGCUAAGAAUUGAUGUAGCUAGAAUACAAAGACGAUAAGGUAUGUUGUGCACUAUUGUUUUAUUCUACGAUCAAUCUUGACCCUUGAUGCUUGGCUCUCAAUCUUGUCCAUUGAUCUUCUUUGAUUUUGGACACUUCAAGACCUUUCAGUAUCAUUCCUUGUUAUUGGUGUCUUCCGUGCUGUAGAAUUCAUAUACAAGCCUUCCCGCCGACUUGCCAAUUAUUUGUUCAUUGGUGCGUUUUGUCAAGCAGUGUGGAUACUUAUACCAAACGCUUUCUGUUUUAACUCCCCCUUUCAAGCUCAACUAUCUGGGAAGACACUAAUAAGCUUGUUUCUCAAGUAUAUGUAUGUGAAAAUUAAAAUUUCAAAAUAAUAUUCGGACUCUACAUUUUCUAAUGAACAUUGGUUUGGCUCAUAAGCUUAUUAUACUUGGGCUUGGUAGGAUUAUCGGUCGGUAGAUGAACAAGUGUUAGAGCUUUCGAAUUUAUGCCAAUUAAAAAAAAAAAAAUCUAUAUAAAUUUUCCACUAGGCUAUUACCACAAUAAACAUUUGGAUGAACUAUUAUUGAAACCUUAUUGAGAAGUAGGACAUGUCGCAUACCAAUGCACUGACAUAUCUUCAAAUAGUGGUAACUCCACACAACAUGGCACAAUAAAUUAAGAGUUAUAUAGAUAAAAUCUUUCACUCUUUGGUAAUCAUCAAUGUCGGCAUGGCAAUGCGUCCGACAAAAUUCAUAAAUCAAAACAAAAAUAGAGAAUCAUAUUUGUUCCAGAUUGUAGUGAUGGUUGUUGAUGCACUCACAAUUUACAAUUUUAUUUAAUAUCUUCACAUUCGCAUUUUAAAAUGCACAAAUGUUUGUGUAUACAUAAUUAGUAAUCGAUUCUCAAGCAUGGACAUUUAAAAGCACUGCUGAAAGACAAAAUUUUAAUUUACUAUUUUUUGUCUUUUAAUUUUCUUUAAGUUUUAAUGAUUCCGCAUUUUGGCGAAGGAAUUGCAACCGCAUUUGGAGCUAGUUUUAAUUUUGUCUUUUAAUUCUUUUACACUUGGCUUUUGUUAUUGAUGUUAACUUCGAUGUGUGUGCGUGUGCGACUGAAUUCAACUUACACGCUAUUGAUGCAGCCACCAAAAAGGGGUGGUCCAUCAUCAAUCAACAAGGUUUAUUAUUAUUUCCAUAUUGAUUUUCUUAAUUAUAAAUAAUACUAAUGCUAUUUCAUAGUUAUAAAUAUAUUAGAAUUAAUCGAAAUCAUUUUUUAGUGUGGCAUGGCUAAAACUACCUUUUUUUUUUAUAAGUAAUUACUACUUUCACAUUAAGAAAAAAUACUCCUAUUUUUAAGGAAAAGUCAAGUACCUGUAGUUGUGAAGACUCGAGCUCACUCCCUUAUGAUAAAUCUUCAUAUUAAUUACGUAAAUAUCCUCUAAAAUUUUAAAUUAACUAUUCAAAAUUCGAUGUUAUACAGGUAUUUCAUUUAUUUGAGUAGGGGUUAGGGGUCAAUUGGAUACAAAUUCAAAAUUAUCCUUACUUGAGAAGGUGAUAAAAAUUGGGGAUUUAGUUUGGAUGUCAUUAGCUACAAAUAUUAAACUCAUACAUUUAAUUCAAAAUUAGAGGGCUGAUAUAUGCGCAUCAUCGUGCACGUUAUAGUGACACUGCGUCACCAUUCCACAACCUCUCCAAUGAAAAAUUGACAUGCUUCUUGUGCGCAUCUAAUCAGAAUCUUGAAAAUUAAUCACAAAAUUGUACUUUUAUUAUAAAAAGAAUAAAGAAACUCCAAGAAAAAAAAAAGACUUACAUAAAUAGAUUGAAAAAUCUAGAUUUCAAGUUGUCUAUAUUAGCUUGAUAUUUUUAUUAAUAGUCAUCCUCCCAAAAAAAUUCCAUCAAAAUAUAUUUUAAUUUUAUGUUAAUUCAUAAACAUGAAAAAAUCAUUUUAGAAUUAAUUAAAACAUAAUUUAUUGUUGCUCAAAAAAGGUAGAACUUAGUGAUCAGAAAAAAAGUAUCUAAAAUAUAUGUUAAAAAAAAUCAUGGUUGGUUAGACUGAUUGAAUUUUUUUUCUUUUUUAAGAAUUAAGACAAUUGGAUGGAUUCAGUAAUAAUAAUACAUAUUUAUUUGGCAAAUGGCAGGGAGGCUUUCGUCUGAUGCAGAUUGAUUAGAGAGAAAAUAUAACAAUUUUAAGCUCGUCAGAUUCGAAGCUGCUUACCUGUCGUGGGGGGAUCACUUCCGGUGCAUGUUGUCGUGUUAAAUUCUCGUUGACUUCACGUUGACUGAAGCAUUAUUGGAAGAAACAAGUUUAUUGAUGUGAGGCCUUUGAGAUUGUAAGUGUUAAAUCUGAGAAGAAUACCCACACACCCAUUAUCCUAUUACUCUUCUAUCACAUGAAGAGAAUUCAACAUUUGAUUCACACGGAAAAAAAAUUUGUGAGGAUUGUGAGGGUUGAUGGAAUAUAAUUUAGAUACAAAGUGUUUACCAGUGCGAUGCUUCGCAAGUGUUCUUGAAUCAAUAUAAACUCACAUUAUUUUCAUAGCGAUUGUUUCAUCUGCACGUGGAUAUAAUCACAUGUCGAGAUUUUUUUCCUUAAAUUAUGAUCUUAUUUAGUAUUGAGGUGUUAUAUCUUUUAAGGUACAAUUAUUGUUGGAAAAAAGUUGCAACUAUCAAAUAAAAUUAAUACUAUGUGCUAAAUAUAAUUGUUAAAUAAUAAUUUUGACAAAAUUAGUGAAGUUAUAUAGAUUUUUUUUCAUCAUCCAAGUAUAAAAUCAAAUCAACUUAACUUCUAAGUUCUAUAUCGGCUACUGUUUAUCAUAUGUUUUAGUUCUGUAACUUUUAAAUUAUAGUUACCCAACCUCAAUUCUAAACAAGACCUAUAACGAUAAAAAAUUUCCUCAUUAAAUUAUAUGUCUUGUGAUUGCUUAUUUAAUUUAUAUUUUUGUUAUUUAUCUUUAUUAAUUAUAAUCAUCUUUUUAUAAAUUAAAAUUGAAGGAAGUUGAUUGAUGUUGUUGACACACACACACGCACGCACACACUCGCAAAGAUAUAUUGGAAGUGCUUACGUCGACUCGAAGUUGUUGGGAAUUAAUGCAUGUAUUGAUUUAUUGGGAGUGUUUAAAUUGAUUUAUUAAUUGAAUAUUGUUUGAUUGCUUCAUAUCCAUUCUAGAAAGUUUAUUUCUUUGUGAAAUUUCAACGAAAUAUGUUUUUUUUUUUAAAUAAGGGUGUUCUAAAUCAUUUUAAAAAAUAUAUGGACUAAUUAGAAUUAAUUAUUAGGUAAUUAACUCAAUUUGUACAGGGUGAAACAACAUUUAUCCUAAUUAUAUCAUGAUAAAUACUUUUUUGAUUAGAAUUAGGAAAUCAUAGGUUUAUUGAAUUGUUUUUUUUUUCCUUUGCGGAAAUGGAUUAGAGAAUUAGAAAACAAUCAUGUUGAUGUCAAAAUCUGAUCUAGUCGGUUAGCGACUUAAUAUCAUAUUACUGCACCAGCAUUAAAUUUAUUUGGUAGAGAAUUGGCUGGUCAAUUGUCAAGAUGUCCUGCAAUCACUAGCGAUUAACCUACGAAUACCUGAAAUCACAAAAGACGGUAAGAGGCACUAGAAAUUUUUUCGGCGUGAACCUUCUGACGCUCAAGUCAGUUUAUAGGUUUACCAUAAUAAAAAUAAAUAAUUUCUAUUUAAAACAAAAAAUAAAGUUCAAAAGCUCAAAAAUAAAACCCAAUCCCAAUAUGAAAAUGAAUUUCUUUUUUUUUUUUAGCUUGGCCGAAUCCUUCUGCCUCCUAAAGAAACAUAAUAGAGAAGCAGGUAGCCAUGUUCCCUAGGUAACGCCCCACUCCCCUCUUUUAUUCCUCCCCCUCUCUUCCGUUUCCUUCUUUUGCUCACUAUCCUUUAUAAUUUUUUAUGCUUGUCUUCCCAAAAUAGCCUUUGAAUACACAAGUAAAUGUCUAGGCUUUGGUGAGGAUAGUUUGGUCAUUGCAUUUUACAAGUAAGAUGAGUGGUGGAGAAAAAUGAGGAGUGCACAUAACUCUUCAGCAAAUCCCACCAACAAUUCCAUUUUCUUAAUUAAUUAAUCUCCUUUUUUAUCCCCAAACAAAUCCUAAUGAUACUCUUAUCAGGUUUAAAACAGUACACAAAUAGUGAAAAGCUAACUAGUCUGUAGAGUAAUUUGCUAAUUGCUAUCUCCUCUCUACGCGCGCUGAAUAAUUUGUUGCAUGCAAACUUUUUAUUUUAUGCAAAUCGUACGUACUGUAACAUUGGAAUUGAUGGAUAAGCAAAAAUACAAUAAUAUUUAUGCCAAUAAAAAUAGUUUUUUUUCCUUUUUAAAUAAACACAACGCGAUGUUGCUCUGCUCUACAUUUUUGCUAUCUCUUUAUUCUUUUUUUUUUUUUGGGCUUCUUAAAGCCUCAAACUUUGACAACCAAAACUUCAUCGACCUAUGAAAAAAUCUGCAGAUUAGUUUUUAUUAUCGGAAUAAUUGUUUGAGAAUACUAAAACAAAAUAUAAAAUAAGAAAAUAGGGGGUUAAAUUAGAGGGGGAAAAAAGCCAUGUUCUAUCGAUUACUAUAGUUUAAGAAAACAAAAUCCAAUUGGGAAUUUUUUUCUUUAAUUUUUGUUUUACUUGAUUGAGAUUUCUCCUUAGUCCUUACAGUUUUAAGUUUGGAUGCCGUAGGGUUAGUAAUUUAGUACUUCCUUUGCAAGCUGAGGGCAAGAAUGAAAAUCUUUAAAGAAAUUAAAAAAGAUUAAAAAAAAGCAUACCAAUAGGUAAUUAUAAAUAACCAUAAAUAAACAUAAACAAAAUAUUUAUGAAGUAAAUUACACAUGCACAUAUUAUUUUUUUGUUUUAUUUCUUACUUGUCUAUUUUAUUUGUCUAUUUUAUUUGCUGCUUGAUAACCCGUAAAUACUAAUCUAGUACUGCUAAUUUCAGACACAAAAUUUUUAACUCUAGGCUGCAGUUUUGCUCAAAAUGAUGACCACUGGCUUCGCACCAUUUAACCGGCAUACAUUUCUACAAAUUGAACAAGGCUAUUGAUUUUCAUUAUUAUUUUUUAUUUAUUUAUAAAUUACUAUUUUAAUUUUCACUUUUUAUUGGGUUGUUUACAAUUUUAUUUUAUAAUUUCAAAUUUGUAUUUUAAAAUGCAGGUACAUUAUGUAUACAUAAUUAUUGAUUUUCAUAUGUGGGUGUUUUGAAAUAUUGCUAAAAGACCAAACUUAAUAAACUAUUUUUCAUCUUUUUUUCCCUUUUUUCCUAAAGGUUGAGUGAUAUCCGCAUUUUAAAUUCAUGUGGAACAAAAGCUAAUGAAUGCACAAAAUUAUUUUAUUUUUUCCGAGAAAAAUGGGUAAGAGAAGAAGAUUUUUCUCUUGAAAAAGAAAAACUAAUACGAUGCAAACAUAGGAAAGAGGUCAGUGUUUUGGAUUAGAAUUUAUUAUUGACCUGAAUUUUAUACUAAACUCUUUUAUAGUACUGCGAUUAAUGAACUCAUGAUUUGCUUUUGCUUUUACUUCAAGUGAAAGAAAGAGGAAACCUUUUGUUUUUUGUUUGAUUCUUGACUAUAGAUGUUACCUAUAUAGAGAGUUGAGGUAGCUGCCUUAAGUGAUGGUGAUAAAAAGAUUAAGCAGCGCACAAAAUCUGACUGUCGUCCAGACCAUCCAGCUGUGAUGGCUCUAGUUUUUUGGUUACAUUAGCUUUAGUGGAAAGGAGGGCCAAUUUAACAAAGACUAGAUUUGGUGGCUUACUAUAAUGCUUAUUCUCAAGGAAUCUAAUGUUAUAAGAUGAUUUAAUGAUCUUCUAUGAUUGUGAGUAGUAUAGUAUAAUUGAAAAGAGCCUGGGCUCCUAUGAUGAAUAUUUAAUAGUAACACAAUAUUGUGAUUGAAAAAAACACUGUUACAAUAAACUCUUCAUUUAUUCAUUGCGGAUAUUGAAUGGCAAACAGAGAAUAAAAUGAAGCAGAGGAAUCUCAUUGCUAGUAAAAUUGACCCUCUUUAAUGUUAUAUGGCACAGGUGUGUGUACAGCAAGAGCAAGUGACUUGCAGUUUUUUUUUGUAAAAUAUACAGGUUAUGACCAUGAUCAUUGUAGUUAGGUUUUGAUGAUUUUAGAUGCUUUUUUAUUUUUUUUAAAUUGUGACACCUUUGAUUUAUGGUAGUUUUGCAGAAGAAAAAAAUAUAUAUAAAAAUUAGGAAGAAUGAGUUAACUAACAAUUGCAAUCAUUACAACAAUGUUGAUGAGUGAUACAUCAUUUGAAAUUUACAUGUCAGUUGCUAAAAUGAUGAAAAAAAACAAUAAACAAUAGCAGUAAUAUUUUUAUGGAAAUUCUUGGUUUUUAUGGAAAUACUCUUGCUGAAAUUCUAAUUUUGACUUUCAACUCUUGGUUUUUAUGGAAAGUAAAAUGACUUGUUUGUUAUAUUCAUACAAUCCACUCUACAUAAUGAUUUCAUUUUUAAUAAAUGCUUGAUGAUCUCCACUGAAAAACUACUUCAAUUCUUUUGUUUUAUUUAACUUUUUGGUUGUUGAAAAUAGCCUUAAUUUUCAAAUAAUUGGAGAAAGAGUAAAGAACAUUUAACAAAUUUAUGUGCCAAAAAUAAAGGAGAAAUUGAAGAGAAAGGGUGCUUGCAGAAGUGGGUGCAAAGAUAAAUCAGUCUAUAAGAAUUAUUGUGGUUAUUAAUUUUUUGGCAAUAUAAAAAUUCUUCAGCAAAUAAAAAUUGAUUUUUUUCCGAUUUACUAAAAAAUUAAUUAAAAAAUUCGGCCACAGCAUUUUUUAUGGGUGCAUAUACCCUCCCUUUAAAAAAAAAUAAUAAUUAAUGCUUAAUAUAGUAUUAAAUACCAAAAUAUCAAUAUUUGGCUACUCAAAUUUAUAUCAUUAGGUCCUUCAAAUUUAAAAUUGAAGAUACAAAAGGAAAUAUAUAUAAAUUUCAUUCUCAUGGAAAGGAUUCUCUUAUAAUCUUAUAAUAUUUGAGUUUUGAAAUUUUUUGAAACAAAUGUAAUUUUAUUUGUGUACAAUCAAUAUUUACUUAUUUAUUAUAUUUUAAUUUGUUAACUAUCAAUCAUUUAAGUAUAUUUGGUCAGAAAAAUUAUAUCAAGAGAGAAUCCUAAUUUCACGCAAACACAAAUACAAGAUAAAUAUGUCAAUUUCUAUACUAUUCACUUUCCUGUAGAAUCAAUUAUCUAAAAUGCAAGUUUGUGGCUACAGAAAACUAAUGCAUCAUUUUCUUCUUGAUUUGAUGAGAUGACGCCAUUACAAAAAAAUAAGUACCUUAAUUGACGGGCACUGAGUGAUGUGAAUACUACCAGCCAGUUCAUCUCUUCCAGUCUUGCUUAAUCACAAUCACAAACACCACGAGAUUGACAUUUGCAUUAUAUAUAUCUUCAGCAAUCGAAACACCUUGCAUUACCAAAUUAACCGGUAACAAACAAAGCAAUCUUUCAUGGAGAGAAACUUUAGUCUCAGUAUGAUCACUGUGUCAUUAACCCACUUCCUGCUUCUUUGCUUGGUUGUUGCAGCAGCAGCAGCCGCAAGCAACAAUAUUACCACAGACCAACAAGCUCUUCUUGCCCUGAAAGAUCAUAUAACUUAUGAUCCAACCAACCUUUUUGCCCAUAAUUGGACCUCGAAUACCUCUGUUUGUACCUGGAUUGGCAUCACUUGUGAUGUCAAUAGCCAUAGAGUCACAGCCUUAGAUAUUUCUCAAUUCAAUCUACAAGGCACCAUCCCUCCUCAACUUGGAAACCUCUCUUCACUUACAACGCUUAAUCUUAGUCAUAACAAGCUUUCUGGAGACGUUCCAUCCUCCAUCUACACCAUGCAUUCGCUAAAAUUUCUUGACUUCACUGAUAACCAGCUCUCUGGUUCAGUGUCUUCCUUCGUCUUCAGCAUGUCUUCAAUAUUAGAAAUUCUUUUGACCAAUAACAGAUUUUCUGGUGAGCUUCCGAAAAAUAUUUGCAACUAUCUUCCUUAUUUGAAAGCCCUUUUCUUAAACAAAAACAUGUUUCAUGGCAAAAUUCCUUCUGCUUUAUCAAAGUGCAAACAACUGCAACAAUUAAAUUUGCAGUUCAAUAAUUUAUCCGGUGCAAUACCGAAAGAAAUCGGCAACUUGACUAUGCUCAAAGGCAUAUAUCUCGAAUACAACAAACUCCACGGUAUGUUCAUAAUACUAUGUAAAUGUUUUAAUUUCUCACUUGUUAUUUUCUUGAAUACUUUAGACAAGAUCUCGUAAGGGAGAUAUUUUUGGAUCUGUGUUAAUUUGCCAGGUGAGAUACCCCACGAAAUCGCUAAUCUUCGAAAUCUAGAGGAUUUAUUGCUUGGAAUGAACAACCUAGUUGGUGUGUUACCAGCUCCAAUCUUCAACAUGUCAACACUGAAAUUAUUUGACCUCAUAAAUAACUCUCUCUCCGGAAGUCUUCCAUCAAGAAUAGACCUUUCACUUCCAACUGUCGAGUUUUUUGGCUUGGCACUGAAUAGAUUUUCUGGAACCAUUCCUAGUUCCAUCACCAAUGCUUCUAAGCUCACCGUUCUAGCGUUGGGAGAGAACACAUUUUCGGGCUUCAUUCCAAACACAAUUGGUAAUUUAAAAAACCUUGAGUGGCUCAGCUUGGAGAAUAAUUACUUGAAAUCUUCAACCUCAAAAUUGAGCUUUCUUUCCUCUUUGGCAAAUUGCAAGAAAUUAAGAUUCUUAAACUUAGCAGGCAAUCCACUUGACGGCUUCCUUCCAAGUUCAAUAGGUAAUCUUUCUGUGUCUUUGGAAACACUUUUCAUCGGCAAUUGCAGUAUUAGUGGCAACAUUCCUCAAGCAAUUAGCAAUUUAAGCAACUUGUUGACCUUAGCAUUAGAAUUCAAUAAAUUGACUGGACCAAUUCCAAUUACAUUUGGCCGACUACAGAAACUCCAAGGCUUAGAUCUUGCAUUCAAUAAGUUGGUAGGUUCAUUCCCAGAUGAGCUUUGCCAUCUAGCAAGGCUGGAUCAAUUGUACUUAUUUGGCAAUAAGCUUUCAGGAUCUAUACCUUCAUGCCUAAGUAAUCUCACUUCUCUAAGAUCUCUCUACUUAGGGUCUAAUAGGUUUACUUCUGUUAUUCCCUCAACUUUCUGGAGCCUAAAAUACAUCUUGUUCUUUGACUUUUCAUCAAAUUUCUUGGUUGGUACUCUUUCUUUCGACAUAGGUAAUUUGAAGGUGCUUCUAGGAAUAAAUUUAUCAGAAAAUAACUUAUCGGGUGAUAUGCCAGCCACAAUUGGAGGACUGAAAGAUCUUCAAUUUAUGGACCUAGCAUAUAAUAGAUUGGAAGGCCCAAUUCCUGAAUCAUUUGGUGACUUGACAAGUUUGGAGGUUUUGAAUUUGUCAAAAAAUAAAAUCUCUGGGUCUAUUCCAACAUCCAUAGAGAAACUCAUUUACCUUCGAGAGUUAAAUCUCUCUUUCAAUAAACUUGAAGGUGAGAUUCCUAGUGGAGGAAUUUUUACCAACUUCACAGCUGAGUCAUUUAUGGGAAAUGAGUUAUUGUGUGGUUUACCAAAUCUUCAAGUCCAACCAUGCAAACUUAGCAAGCCUAGGACAGAACAUAAAUCAAGGAAAAAGAUACUUCUCAUUGUGAUUGUUUUGCCAUUGAAGAUUGCUCUAACGAUAGCAAUCACUCUAGCUCUCAAAUCUAAGCUGAUCGAAUGUAGAAAAAGAAGCACAGAGUUAUCAAAUGAUAGUAUCUUGUCAUCACAAGCAACACUAAGAAGAUUUUCAUACUUAGAACUUUUACAAGCAACAGAUAAUUUUGCUGAAAACAACAUAAUUGGCAGAGGAGGUUUUGGUUUCGUUUAUGGAGCAAGACUUGAAGAUGGGAUGAAGAUUGCAAUAAAAGUGUUCACCAGCAAUGUGCAAGCGCAUUGAAGAGUUUUGAGGCUGAAUGUGAAGUGUUAAAAAAUAUUCGCCAUCGAAACCUUAUCAAAGUUAUCAGCAGUUGCUCGAACGAUAACUUCAAAGCAUUAGUCCUAGAAUACAUGUCCAACGGGAGCUUGGAGGAUUGGCUGCAUUCUAGCAAUUAUGUGCUGAAUAUAUUUCAGAGGUUGAACAUAAUGAUUGACGUUGCAUCAGCUUUAGAAUAUCUCCACUUCGAUCAUUCAACUGCUAUUAUUCAUUGUGACUUAAAGCCUAGUAAUGUAUUGUUGGACGAAAAUAUGGUUGCUCAUUUGAGUGAUUUUGGCAUAGCAAAGCUUUUAAGUGGAGAGGAUGAGUCUACGAUGCGAACAAAAACCCUUGCCACUAUAGGUUAUAUGGCACCAGGUUUGCUUCAAACAACUUUUUUUUUAGUUCAUUUUAAAUUUUCUAAAUCAUUGAUUUUUACGAUCCUCAUAUCAAAUUGUUACUGAUUAUUUAUCUAAUUGUGAAAUUAAUUUGAUUCAUAGAGUACGGCAUAGAAGGAGAAGUAUCUACAAAAAGUGAUGUUUACAGCUAUGGGAUUAUGUUGAUGGAAACUUUUACCAAGAAAAAACCCACAGAUGAAAUUUUUGUUGGAGAAUUGAGCUUAAAGCGUUGGGUUAAUGACUUGCUUCCUACUUCAUUAGAGGAAGUUGUGGACAAAACUCUGCUAAGUGGAGAGGAAAAACAUUCUUUAGGAAAGGAGCAAUGUCUGUUGUCUAUCUUUAGUUUGGCUCUGGAGUGUACAAUGGAAUCACCGGAAAAGAGGAUUAAUGCAAAAGAUAUUGUUACCGGAUUACUCAAGAUAAAAGCCGCAUUGAGUAAAAGGAUAGGAAAUUUAAGUUAAUUUCGUUUGCUUUCAUUGAUAGUUAAUCUGAAUUCAUGUAAUAAGUGUAGGAAUCUUAUAUCUUUUCCUUUCAUAUAUUUUUUUUCCUUGAGAAAACUGUUGUAGUCAUCUUGUUUCCGUGGACAGAGUUGAUUUAGUUUUUCCAUGAAAUGCUACUGAUGACAUUUGUUUUAUACUUUCUCUUUUUUUGCAUGUGUUUUGGCUGCAGGCUAAGAAGUCUAACUACACUAAAAGAAUAUGAUUUAAUUUAUUAAACAAAACUUCAAGUUCAAGAAAAGUAUUUCACUGCCCCUAAUGCUUUGGACACCUACUGGUAGGUUUGUACGUGUCCUCAACUUUUUUUUGGAGCACAAAAUUCGAGUCCCAUGGAGUCUCAAACAUUCCUUUCCCACAUCCCGAGCACGCUGAAUUUAUCAGACUGACUGUUGUGCGCGGAAUGCGGAAUCAAGCACGCCAAAUAAUUACAGAAAAAUAAAUGACACAAGAAUUUACGUGGUUCGGUAAUUAAACCUACAUCCACGGAGGUAAAAAAAAAAAUUGUUUAUUUAACAAUUAAUAGAGUACAAAUAUUUGAGUAACGAAUCUCACUUCCCAAAAACCCAAAUAUACCCAGUACUCUCACACUCUGCAGGAAAGAUAAAUUCCCCAGACAAACUUCUCUCACUUCUCUCAAAAGCUUAGAAACUUAUAAGCUUAACAAUUUUAGGAUACCAAAGAAUGGAAGAAGUGCCAUCUAUUUAUAGGGAAAAUAAUGGCACUAUUGAACCAACCCUUUUACUAUUCCACCUAACCUAAGCAAAUAGUCAAUGGUGUCCAUUUGGCAAAUUUGACAAAUUUGCCAACUUUCCAUUUUUUCUUCAAAUGUUUGGUAGCUCUUUGAAAAAUUGCCACAUACAUGACUUUUCAACACUGACAACCGGGACAUAUACAAGAGUGAAAUGUUCAGAGCACGCUAAGUUCCAGUGAAAGAGAUUAAUUUACGGAAACUAAAGCCAAGAGAAUAAAGGACAACACUUAUGUGAAGCGACAUAAUUGUAUUGAUAGCACAAUGUCAAAUUCAUACAGAGAUCUAGUAUACUAUUUACAGCCGGUAAGGGCUAAGAAUUGAUGUAGCUAUAAUACAAAUACGAUAAGGUAUGUUGUGCGCUAUUGUUUUUAUUCUCCAAUCAAUCUUGACCCUUGAUGCUUGGUUCUCAAUCUUGUCCAUUGAUCUUCUCUGAUUUUGGAGACUUCAAGACCUUUCAGUAUCAUUCCUUGUUAUUGGUGUCUUCCGUGCUGUAGAAUUCAUAUACAAGUUUUCCCGCCGACUUGCCAAGUAUUCGUUCAUUGGUGCAUUUUUAUCAAACAGCUGGGCUACUUAUGCCAGACACCGCCUGGUUUAACUCCCCCUCUCUAGCUCAACUAUCUGGGAAGACAAUUAAUUGAGCUUGUUUCACAAGUAUAUGAAUCUGAAAGUUAAAUUUUAAAAAUUAUAUUCGGACUCUACAUUUUGUAAUGAACAUUGGUUUGACUUGUUAUACAUUUAUGCGUACAUAAUUAAUAACCGAUUCUCAAGUGCGGACAUUCAAGAGCACUGCUUAAAGACCAAAUAUUUUGAUUUACUACUUUUUGUCUUUCAAUUUUCUUUUAAGUUCUGAUGACGUCCGCAUUUUAAAAUCCUGUGGAACAAAGGCCUGAGGUGCAUAUAAAAUUCUUUUAUUUUUCAGAGGAAAAUGGGUGAGAGAAGAAGAUUUGGCAAAAGAAUUGCAACGGCAUUUGAAACUAGUCUUCGUCUUUUAAUUCUUUUAUAUUUGUUUUUGUUAUUGAUGUUAGCUUGGAUGUGUGCGCGUGUGACUGAAUUCAACUUAUAUUUGUUUUUGUUAUUAUUAUUAAUUUUAUUUGUUUUUGUUAAAUUGGACCACCCCAUUAUCAAAUCAACACGGUUUAAUUAUUAUUAAUUCUACACUUUUUUUACGAACAAAUAUAAAAUAAAAGGACAUUUACAUCCCAAAUUUUAGUGCAAUAGUCAUCAACAUCCCUAAAUUUUUAAAAAGAGACAUCAAAAUCAUUUUUUGAUCUUAAUACUCUUAUACGGUACCUCUAUUAUUCCCAAAAAUUGACUCUAAUGUUUUAUAAUAAAUAAAAAUAAAACUUUAAAAUAAAUGUAAUUACAUAUACAUUUUAAAAUAAUUUCAAUAUUUAAAAAAUAUUUUUAACAUUUUACAAUCUAUUAUAUUUUAUUAUAUUAAAGUAAAUUUUAUUAUAAAUAGAAUCAUAUUAUUAAAAUAAAUGCAUUAAAAUUUAAAUUAUUUUGAAUAUCAUGUAAGAUAAUAAUUUUAACAUUACUAGUGUGUCAGAUUUUUUUUUUUAAUUGUAGAAUGUAUUUAGCGCAAAUAUUUAUUUAAAAUCUCUACAAUAAAUAAAAGAUUUAAAUAAAUAUAAUAAUUUACAUAUCUAAAUUUAUUAAAAUAUUUUAAUAUUGUUAGUCUACUGCAUAGAUCACAAUAUUUAUAUAACAUUUGUAUUUAUUAAAAACUUUAAAAUCAAUUCUUUUGAGAAUAAUAGAGGUAAAGAGUAUAAUGGUAAUAAAGGGGACUUUGUACCCCUUUCUAAAAACUUGAGGAUGUUAGUGACCAUUUCUCCAAACCUUCAGUGUGUUGAUGUAAUUGUCAAGAAAUACAGUAUCUAAACUUUGAAGUAACAAGGAUCACCUUUUAUGAAAUCAUAUUGCUUUUCAUGAUAGACUGUUACCAUUUUUCUACGAUAGAUUCAGUAAAAAAUUGAUUAAGAUGUCUACUCAUGGAGAGUGAAAUUUAUGUUCAAAACUAAUUUCAACAGGCAUGCACCAUCGAACGUGUUUCUCAUGGAAAAGUUGCUUGGAUUUUAGGGACUUUAUGUUCAAAUAUUCAACACGGCAUGCACCACGCGAUUGAACAUGCAAAAGUAGGGGUCUAUUUUCAUUUUCAGCAUUAUAGAAAUCUUAAUUUUGUUCAUUAUUUAUUUUGAUCAGCACUCUUGAAUCUCCAUGUAUUGCCAAUCACUAAGAAACAACAUAUUCUUAUUAAUUAUAUCCUCUAAUGGAGAGAACUCAUUGUCUCAGUAAGAUCACUGUGUCAUUAACCCACAGCAUGCUGAUUUGCUUGGUUGCUGCAGCAAGCAAAAAUAUUACCACAGAUCAAAAAGCUCUUCUUGCCCCAAAAGAUCACAUAACUUAUGCUCCAACUAAUCUUUUGACCCAAAAUUGGACCUCAAAUACCUCUGUUUGUACGGGGAUUAGCAUCACUUGCGAUGUCAAUAGCCAUGAAGUUGCAGCCUUGGAUAUUUCUCAAUUCAAUCUACAAGGCACCAUUAUUCCAAACACAACUGGUAAUUUAAGAAACCUUAAGUGGCUCGGCUUGGCUUAUAAACUACUUGACAUCUUCAACUUCAAAAUUGAGCUUUCUUUCCUCUUUGGCAAGUUGCAAAAAAUUAAGAAUCUUAGGCUUACUGGAAAUCCACUUGACCGUAUCCUUUCAGGUUCAAUAGGUAAUCUUUCUAUGUCUUAGGAAAGGUUUCACAUCGCCAAUUGCAGCAUUAGUGGCAGAAUUCCUCAAGUAAUCAGCAAUUUAAGCAACUUGUUGGCUGGUGUGCAAAAUUUUAAUAUACUUGCAAGCGCAUGAAUCUAGAAAUAGAAUAAUAGUAACGAGGUCAAACCCACAUGGAUCGUUAUAAACUGACAAAAGAAUAGCUGCUGGUCUAGAGGUGGCUUACUACAUUCAUACAAGAUCGUUUCUUGUUCUCUAAGAUAUGCAUUAUACUAAUAAUGCUAUACAAACUUAUCCAAAGGUCUAUUAAUUAAUUCAUUAAUCCAACGGCUUGUUAGGUUGUCCUUUCAUCCAUACAGCUGCAUGCUUGUCUUCUUAUAUACUGAUCUUAUCCUCUAGAUCUGUUCAGGCUGAGUGAUCUCUCACAUUUGCCAUAUCAGAAGAUUACAUGCCAGUAAUGUCAUGUGAUGACCUGUUGCUUGGUGAUGUCGAAUGCCUGGCCUUUACUUCUCUGAGCAAAUUGAUCAAACAAUUUGUUCAUUUUAUCGAACACCUUCACCAACCAACAUUUUAUUUACUUUUGAUGGUUUUUAAGUGCAUUUAAUGAUUAUUUUUGCUCCAACUUCAGAUAAACCAAACGCUAGUAUAUUAGAAGAAGAAGUUCACUGGCAGCUAACCAGGUCAAAAUAGCGACUCUAUAUAAAAAAUAUAUAUAAAAAAUAAAUAAAUAAAAUGGGACUUUAUUUAAUUAAUUGUUGGUCUAAAGCUGUUGGUAUCCGUUGGCCACGUUUCUGAAGAGUCAUCUCAAAUCGAAAUUUUUAACGAACAAAGAACUUUGCUUUUUUCCAUUGUUCACAUUGCUGCUGGCUGCCACCCGUGAGAUAAAAGUGCUACAAGCUUUCCGUCGACAUUCCCCCCUCCAUUUUCACCAUGCAUAAGCUGAAAUUUCUUGAUUUCAGUGAUAAUCAGCUCUCUGGUUCUUUGUCCUCCGUCACCUUCAACUUGUCUUCAGUAUUAGAUAUUCGUUUGGAUAGUGACAAACUCUCUGGUGAACUCCCAGUAAAUAUUUGCAAUUAUCUUCACUAUUUAAAAGUCCUUUUUUUGGCCAAAAACAUGUUUCACGGUCAAAUACCACUGGCUUUAUCCAAGUGCAAACGGCUACAACUGUUAAAUUUGGGGUUCAAAAAAUUAUCAGGAGCCAUACCGAAAGAAAUCAGCAACUUGACUAUACUUCGAAAGAUAUCUCUCAGAAAUAAUAAACUUCGCGGUAUAAAUGUUUAUAAUAUAUACUUUGUAAAUGCUCUUAUUAAUCAUUCUUGAACUUUCUUAGAUACUUUUGUCUAAAUAAGAUUUUGCAAAAGAGUUUUUUGCAUCUCUGUUAAUUUUGCAGGCGAGAUACCUCACGAAAUUGGGUAUCUUCCAAAUCUAGAGAAUUUGGUGCUUGGAUUCAACAACCUAGUAGGUGUUGUACCUGCUGCAAUCUUCAACAUGUCAACAGUGAAAAAAAUUUACCUAUUAGAUAACUCUCUCUUGGGAAGUUUUUCAUUAGGAAUAGACCUUUCACUUCCUAACGUUGAGAGACUGAACCCGGGGCUGAACAGAUUUUCUGGAACCAUUCCUAGUUUCAUCACCAACGCAUCUAAACUUGUAUAUCUAGAUAUGGGAACAAACUCUUUUUCGGGCAUUAUUCCGAACACAAUUGGUAAUAAUCUAAGAAACGUUGACUGGCUCGACUUAACAUACAAUCGCUUGACAUCAUUAACUCUAGAAUUGAGCUUUCUUUCCUCUUUGACAAUUGCAAGAAAUUAAGAUUCUUAGGCUUAACAGGCAAUCCGCUUGACGGUGUCCUUCCAACUUCAAUAGGUAAUCUUUCUAUGUCUUUGGAAAACAUUUACAUCUCAAAUUGUAAUAUUGGUGGCAGCAUUCCUCAACUAAUCAGCAAUUUAAGCAAUUUGUUGCUCUUAGAUUUAGAAGGCAAUAAGUUGACUGGAUCAAUUCCAGUCACAUUCAGCCGGUUGCAGAAACUCCAGGGUUUAUAUCUUCCAUUUAACAAGUUAGCAGGAUCAAUCCCAGACCAGCUUUGCCAUUUAGCUAGACUGAAUACAUUAGGUUUGGCUGGUAAUAAGUUUUCUGGAUCAAUCCCUUCAUGUUUAGGUAAUCUCACUUCUCUAAGGUCUCCCGACUUAGGGUCCAAUAGGCUUACAUCAGUCUUGCCCUCAACUUUUUGGAAUCUAAAAGACAUCUUGUUCUUUGACCUUUCAUCAAAUUCUUUGGAUGGUCCUCUUUCUUUAGACAUAGGAAAUUUAAGGGUUGUGAUAGGAAUAAAUUUAUCACGAAAUAACUUUUCAGGUGAUAUCCCAAGUACAAUUGGAGAUCUAAAAGACUUACAGAAUAUCUCCUUAGCAUGUAAUGGAUUGGAAGGUCUAAUUCCUGAAUCAUUUGGUUACUUGACAGGUUUGGAAAUUUUAGAUUUGUCAAAUAACAAAAUCUUUGAGUUUAUUCCGAUAUCUUUUUAAAAACUCUUGUACCUCAAAGAGCUAAAUUUGUCUUUUAACAAACUAGAAGGAGAGAUUCCUAGGGGAGGACCUUUUGCAAAUUUCACAGCUAAGUCAUUCAUGGGAAAUGAGAAAUUGUGUGGUUUACCAAAUCUCCAAUUCCCAAAAUGCAAGCGUCGGACGCGUCGAAAAUCAAAGAAAAAGAUGCUUCUACUUGUGAUUGUCUUGCCAUUGAGUACUGCUCUAAUAAUCGCAGUCCCUCUAGCUCUAAAAUAUAAAUCGAUAAGAGGUGGAAAGAGUAGUACUAGGUUGUUAAAUGAUGGUAUCUUGCAUCACAAGAAACACUAAGAAGAUUUUCAUACCAAGAUCUUUUUCGUGCAACAGAAAAAUUUAGUAAAGAAAAUCUAAUUGGCGUAGGAAGUUUUGGUUCUGUUUAUCGAGGAAGAAUUCAUGAUGGAAUUGAGGUUGCAAUAAAAGUGUUUCACCAGAAUUGUGCAAUGGCAUUGAAGAGUUUUGAGGCUGAAUGUGAAGUGAUGAAAAAUAUUCGUCAUCGAAAUCAUGUCAAAAGAAUCAGUAGUUGUUCGAACGAAGAUUUCAAAGCAUUAGUUCUAUAAUAUAUGCCCAAUAGGAGCUUGGAGGAUUGCCUGCAUUCUACCAAUUGUUCGUUAAAUAUUUUUGACAAGUUGAACAUAAUGAUAGAUGUUGCAUCGGCUUUGGAAUAUCUCCACUUCAGUCAUUCAACUCCUGUCAUUCAUUGCGACUUAAAGCCCAAAAAUGUAUUGUUAGAUAAAAAUAUGGUUGCUCAUUUCAGUGAUUUUGGAAUUGGAAGGCUCUUAACUGGAGAUCGAUCAAUGAUACAAACAGAAACACUUGUCACAAUUGGUUAUAUGGCACCAGGUUUGCUCUGAAACAAUUUUUGUUUUUUUUUUUUGGGUUUUCAUUCAGACUUUCCAAAUUAUUAUUUUUCCAUGAUCCUUCUAUCCUAAUGUUAUUGAUUAUUUAUCUAAUGAUAAAAUCAAUUUGGUUGAUAUAAUAUGGCAUAGAAGGACGAGUAUCUACAAGAAGUGAUGUUUAUAGUUAUGGAAUUAUGUUAAUAGAAACAUUUACUAGGAAGAAACCCACAGAUGAAAUGUUUACUACAGAAUUGAGCUUAAAACUUUGGGUUAACAACUUGCUACCUGCUUCAUUGAUGGAAGUUGUGGACAAAACUCUUUAAGUAGGGAAGAAGAAGAUUUUGCUGCGAUGGAGCAAUGUGUGUUAUCAAUCUGAGUUUAGCCAUGGAGUACGUGAUGGAAAUGCCAGAAAAAAGGAUCGAUCCAAUAGAUAUUGUAACUAAACUAUUGAAAAUAAGAGACAUAUUGAGUAAAAGGUUAGCAAAUUUAGGUUAAUCUCAUUUCUUGGCAUUGAUACUUGAAUCAAUAUACACUUAAUUUGAAUCAAUGUAUGAGUGUAAGAAUAUGAUAUAUUUUCCUUUAAUUUUUUUUCCUGAGAGAAAUAUCAUAGCUGUCUUGUUUCAAAUUAAUUUUAUACUUUUUUUUCUUUUUCUAAGAUCAUGCCAAAGAGUUGUAGGAAGAUCAGCCACAAAUUCAAAGCCGGCUAAGGCAUUUGAAGAUGGAGAGAUUGGUAGUUUUUUUCCCAUUAAAAUUAAUAUAUAUCACUUAUCCCAACUAUUUUCAUAAUGCCUAAUAAGCUCUUGGCACCAUAACUUUACCAUAUAACCCUUAUUUUGAAAUACACUUUUAUUCAUAUUAAUAUUAAUUAAAUAAAUCAUAUGAGUUGAAAUUAAAAAUUAAAAAAUUAAAUACCAAAAAAAAGAAAUAUACGUUUUAGUGUGCUAAAAAAUUAAUAUUAAAAUAUUUUUCUUAUAUAUAUAUAUAUAUUAUUCUCAAAAUAAUGUAUCAAGCAAAUGACUUUUUUCUCUUCUUUUUCUUUAACUUUUUUUGUGCUAGUAGAGUUUUUAGAUAUUAUAAAAACAAUAAAAGAAUAAGUGAUAUAUAUUAAUUUCAGUUGAAAAUAACCAACAAUCCCCCUUUAAUUACGUGUCACACCCAACUUAUAAAUUCUAUCAAUCAUGUAAUUAUGGUUGGUUUCUCUUUUUCUUUUUUUUGCAUGUGUUUAGGUAGAAUAGUGGUUUGGUUGCACUCUAAGAAGUCAAACUACACUAAAAGAAUAUGAUUUAAUUUAUUAAACAUAACUUCAAGUUCAAGAAAAGUAUCUUAUUGCCCCCAAUGCUUUGGACACCUAUUGGUAGGUCUGUACGUGUCCUCAACUUUUUUUUGGAGCACAAAAUUCGAGUCCCAUGGAGACUCAAACAUUCCUUUCCUUCAUCCCGAGGGCGCCUUCUGUCCUCUGUUUCUGUUUCCACACACAAAUAGCAAAAAGAAAUUAGAAUGACAACUGGGACAUAUAUAAGAGUGAAAUAAUUAAAAAAUUAUGCUUUUUUGUUUGUCGUGUUAAAAUCGUAAGUACCGAUGUACUGUGAAAGAGAUUAAUUUACAGAAACUGAAGCCAAGGGUUCAAAAAAAAAGUGCAAAGAGAAUAAUUGUAUUGGUAGCACAAUGUCAUAUUCAUACAGAGAUCAAGUAUAUUAUUUACGGCUGGUAAGGACUAAGAAUUGAUGUAGCUAGAAUGCAAAGAUGAUAAGGUAUGUUGUGCACUAUUGUUUUAUUCUACAAUCAAUCUUGACCCUUGAUGCUUGGCUCUUAAUCUUGUCCAUUGAUCUGGUCAACUAUCUGGGAAGACAAUUAAUUGAGCUUGUUUCACAAUUAUAUGAAUCUGAAAGUUAAAUUUUAAAAAUUACAUUCGGACUCUACGUUUUCUAAUGAACAUUGGUUUGGCUUAUAAGCUUAUUAUGCUUAGGCUUAGGCUUGGUAAGAUUAUCGGUCGGUAGAUGAACAAGUUUUAGAGCUUUCGAAUUCAUGCCAAUUAAUUUUCAACUAGGCUAUUACCACAAUAAACAUUUAGAUGAACUAUUAUUGAAAUUUUAUUGAGAAGUGGAACAUGUCGCAUACCAAUGCACGGACAUAUCUUCAAAUAGUGGUAACUCCACACAACAUGGCACAACAAAUUAAGAGUUAUAUAGAUAAAAUCUUUCUACAAUUACAAUAGAUUGAAUUUAGUAAGAAAUUGAUUGUUAUCAUUUUUCUCAUGGAAAAGUUGUUUGGAUUACAAUAGAUUGAAUUUAUGUUCAAAUAUUCAACACGGCAUGCACCACGCGACUGAACUUGCAGAAGGAGAGGUCCAUUUUCAUUUUCAGCAUCACAGAAAUCUAAAUUUGUUCAUUAUAUAUUCUGAUCAGCACUUGAACAUCCAUGCAUACUCCUAUUAAUUAUAUCCUCUAAUGGAGAGAACUCAUUGCCUCAGUAUGAUCACUGUGUCAUCAACCCACUGCCCGCUUCUUUGCUUGGUUGUUGCAGCAAGCAACAAUAUUACCACAGAUCAACAAUAGUUUGUCCAUUUGUUUCAGUGAGGUCGUCAUUAAAAAUUAAUUUUCAUAUUGAUUUUCUUAAUUAUAAAUAAUACUAAUGAUAUUUCAUAGUUAUAAAUAUAUUAGAAUUAAUCAAAAUCAUUUUUUAGUGCGGCAUGGCUAAAACUACCUUCUUCUUUUUUUUUUAUAAGUAAUUACUACUUUAAGGAAAAUACUCCUAUUUUCAGGGAAAAGUCAAGUACCUGUAGUUGUGAAGACUCGAGCUCACCCUCUUAUGAUAAAUCUUCAUAUCAAUUACAUAAAUAUCCUCUAAGUUUUUAGUUAACUAUUCAAAAUUCGAUGUUAUACGGGUAUUUCAUUUAUUUGAGUAGGGGUUAGGGGUCAAUUGGAUACAAAUUCAAAAUUAUCCUUACUUGAGAAGGUGAUAAAAAUUGGGGAUUUAGUUUGGGUGUCAUUAGCUACAAAUAUUAAACUCAUACAUCUAAUUCAAAAUUGCAUCCAGGUUCAUUGCAGCUAAGGCUUGUGGAAUUUCCUCAGUAAGAUGUGAGUAGUCAUACCUACGUCGACAUUCAAUGGCUGUAUGUUUCGGUAAAUGACAAAUUUGGCAUAUGACAGUUUCUUCAUUGACUUCCUCAGCUUGUUGUUUGGAUUGAUUCUGAAUUUUGUGCCAAGGCUGUCCAGAAUUAUUUUGUCGAGGUUGCUGCCACUGUUGUCCCGAAUUUCCUUGCCAUGAUUGUUGCCCUUGUUGACUUGGAUUAUUGUUUGAUUUUUGCCAUGGCUGACUUGCAUUAUUAUUCCAACUUUUUCCACCAUUGUAGUUGAUUUUUUGACCACUUGAAUCAGCCAAAUUUUGUCCUCCUGCUGCUGUAAAACCACGACCUUUUGAGUUAAAGAAACCUCCAUUUCCACGACCUUUUCCCUUGCCUCGUUGGCUAAAAAAGGCUUGAGCCAGAUUGAUUGUAUUCUUCUUUUCUUCUUCAAAAUUAAUAAGAGUUUGUUCAUGAUUUUCGAGGGCCAUGACAAACUGCUUAAAUGAGGGAUAAGGUGGUUUUGAAAGUUGAGCAAGUUUGAAGUCUUGACUUUAUCGAAGUCAUUCACUGGUUUAUUUAUUGCAGCCAAACAAUCACAGAUAUGCUUGUAUUUGCGCACAUACUCUUCAACUGAUAGAGAUCCCUUUUUAAACCGAGAGAAUUACUAUAUUUACACAAUUAACCUUGGCUAGAAUUAAUUGUCCAGAUUGGAUGAUAACUAGAGAAUAGAAAUGAAGAAAAGGAAGCACACAACACCGAGAAGAGUAAUAAUUAAUGCUGCCAUUGACGAAAUGUUUUAUAUUACUCUUCUUUCUUGGUAUUUAUUUAUUUACAAUUUUUAAUGUAAAUAUACAGUUGUUGGGCUAAUAUCUUAUUUACUUUUGAAUGUAUUAGAUGCCUUUUCUUUUUUCUUGGUUCAUAAUAAUUUUGUAGAAAUUCCUCAAGUUUCCCUAAAUGAUAGCACAUAUUCAUAAUUGGAUUGAUUGAGUAAUAAUAAAAUAUAUUUAUUUGGCAAACGGCAGUUAGGCUUUCUUCUGAUGCAGAUUAAUUAGAGAGAAUAUAUAACAAUUUUAAGCUCGUCAGAUUCGGAACCUGCUUAUCUGUCGUGUGGGGAUCACUUCUGUGUCUUAUUUUUCUAGAAAAAUCUGGACCAUUGGAUUUCCCAUUAUUCAAUAGAUAAAUGUUUGAUCUUGAUUCUUGAUUAAGAUCGAAGUUUGAUUCUAACCAAAAUGAUGUCAGAUUCAGAUUGCGAAGCAAGCAAAUUGAAAGUAACUUGUUCUAUUUUGAUAAACACUAGUUCUAAUAAAAAAUUUCUAAGUGUAUAUAUUUUUUUUAUUGUGUUCAAUUUAACUAGUCAAAUCUAUUUUUAAAUAUUUUAUUAACAAUGAUAUGAAAAUAUUCGAACCCCUUGUCAUUGUAAAGUGAAUUACUAUCCAACUACACCAAAUAAUGUUUUCAAAUUGUAAACUGCAAAUCGUGUGUUUGCUCCAUUACAGCGUUUCUUCAAUUUAAAAAAGAGAAUCAUUUGCAUUCUAGAUUAAUCGUGGGUCUAUAUCCAAAUCUAAAAAUUGACUAAAUUCUUAAUCCUAACAAGAAAAAUUGAAGAUUAAAAACGACUAAUUUGGUACCAUACCACUAUUGUAACAUAGGUGGAUCCUCUAUUAAUUGGAGUAAAGAUUGAAUUAUCUCAUUUAUUAAGAUUUAUCAAAAUCUUGUAUCAAAAUCUAUUAAUGAUAUAGGUUCAAGGAUGAAAGAGUCACUUCAUUACUUUUGAGUUCCCAAAUAGAUGAAUGGAUGUUAUUUUUGGAUAGGUGCUAAAUCGAAUUAAGUUGUAGAUAAGAUAGAAAUGGAUUUGGAGAGAUUGGAAUCCUAGGUAAUCCGGUGCACGUUGUCGUGUUAAAUUCUCGUUGACUUCACGUUGACUGAAGCAUUAUUGGAAGAAACAAGUUUAUUGAGGUGAGGCCUUUGAGAUUGUAAGUGUUAAAUCUGAGAAGAAUACCCACACACCCAUUAUCCUAUUACUCUUAUAUCACAUGAAGAGAAUUCAACAUUUGAUUCACAUGGAACAAAAUUGUGAGGAUUGCGAGGGUUGAUGGAAUAUAAUUUAGAUACAAAGUGUUUACCAGUGCGAUGCUUCACAAGUGUUUUCAAUCAUAGUGAUUGUUUUAUCUGCACGUGGAUAUAAUCACAUGUCAGAAUUUUUUUCCUUAAAUUAUGAUCUUAUUUAGUACUGAGGUGUUAUAUCUUUUAAUGUACAAUUAUUGUUGGAAAAAAGUUGCAACUAUCAAAUAAAAUUAAUACUAUGUGCUAAAUAUAAUUGUUAAAUAAUAAUUUUGACAAAAUUAGUGAAGUUAAAUAGAUUUUUUUUUUAUCAUCCAAGUAUAAAAUCAAAUCAACUUAACUUCUAAGUUCUAUAUCGGCUACUGUUUAUCAUAUCUUUUAGUUUUGUAACUUUAAAGUUAUAGUUACCCAACCUCAAUUCUAAACAAGACCUAUAAAGAUCAAAGAUUUCCUCAUUAAAUUAUAUGUCUUGUGAUUGCUUAUUUAAUUUAUAUUUUUGUUAUUUAUCUUUAUUAAUUAUAAUCAUCUUUUUAUAAAUUAAAAUUGAAGGAAGUUGAUUGAUGUUGUUGACACACACACACACACACACGCACGCACACACUCGCAAAGAUAUAUUGGAAGUGCUUACGUCGACUCGAAGUUGUUGGGAAUUAAUGCAUGUAUUGAUUUAUUGGGAGUGUUUAAAUUGAUUUAUUAAUUGAAUAUUGUUUGAUUGCUUCAUAUCCAUUCUAGAAAGUUUAUUUCUUUGUGAAAUUUCAACGAAAUAUGUUUUUUUUUUUAAAUAAGGGUGUUCUAAAUCAUUUUAAAAAAUAUAUGGACUAAUUAGAAUUAAUUAUUAGGUAAUUAACUCAAUUUGUACAGGGUGAAACAACAUUUAUCCUAAUUAUAUCAUGAUAAAUACUUUUCUGAUUAGAAUUAGGAAAUCAUAGGUUAUUGAAUUGUUUUUUUUUUCCUUUGCGAAUGGAUUAGAGAAUUAGAAAACAUCAUGUUGAUGUCAAAAUCUGAUCUAGUCNNNNNNNNNNNNNNNNNNNNNNNNNNNNNNNNNNNNNNNNNNNNNNNNNNNNNNNNNNNNNNNNNNNNNNNNNNNNNNNNNNNNNNNNNNNNNNNNNNNNAGCAUUAAAUUUAUUUGGUAGAGAAUUGGCUGGUCAAUUGUCAAGAUGUCCUGCAAUCACUAGCGAUUAACCUACGAAUACCUGAAAUCACAAAAGACGGUAAGAGGCACUAGAAAUUUUUUCGGCGUGAACCUUCUGACGCUCAAGUCAGUUUAUAGGUUUACCAUAAUAAAAAUAAAUAAUUUCUAUUUAAAACAAAAAAUAAAGUUCAAAAGCUCAAAAAUAAAACCCAAUCCCAAUAUGAAAAUGAAUUUCUUUUUUUUUUUUAGCUUGGCCGAAUCCUUCUGCCUCCUAAAGAAACAUAAUAGAGAAGCAGGUAGCCAUGUUCCCUAGGUAACGCCCCACUCCCCUCUUUUAUUCCUCCCCCUCUCUUCCGUUUCCUUCUUUUGCUCACUAUCCUUUAUAAUUUUUUAUGCUUGUCUUCCCAAAAUAGCCUUUGAAUACACAAGUACAUGUCUAGCCUUUGGUGAGGAUAGUUUGGUCAUUGCAUUUUACAAGUAAGAUGAGUGGUGGAGAAAAAUGAGGAGUGCACAUAACUCUUCAGCAAAUCCCACCAACAAUUCCAUUUUCUUAAUUAAUUAAUCUCCUUUUUUAUCCCCAAACAAAUCCUAAUGAUACUCUUAUCAGGUUUAAAACAGUACACAAAUAGUGAAAAGCUAACUAGUCUGUAGAGUAAUUUGCUAAUUGCUAUCUCCUCUCUACGCGCGCUGAAUAAUUUGUUGCAUGCAAACUUUUUAUUUUAUGCAAAUCGUACGUACUGUAACAUUGGAAUUGAUGGAUAAGCAAAAAUACAAUAAUAUUUAUGCCAAUAAAAAUAGUUUUUUUUCCUUUUUAAAUAAACACAACGCGAUGUUGCUCUGCUCUACAUUUUUGCUAUCUCUUUAUUCUUUUUUUUUUUUUGGGCUUCUUAAAGCCUCAAACUUUGACAACCAAAACUUCAUCGACCUAUGAAAAAAUCUGCAGAUUAGUUUUUAUUAUCGGAAUAAUUGUUUGAGAAUACUAAAACAAAAUAUAAAAUAAGAAAAUACGGGGUUAAAUUUGGGGAAAACAAAAAGGCAUGUUCUAUCGAUUACUAUAGUUUAAGAAAACAAAAUCCAAUUGGGAAUUUUUUUCUUUAAUUUUUGUUUUACUUGAUUGAGAUUUCUCCUUAGUCCUUACAGUUUUAAGUUUGGAUGCCGUAGGGUUAGUAAUUUAGUACUUCCUUUGCAAGCUGAGGGCAAGAAUGAAAAUCUUUAAAGAAAUUAAAAAAGAUUAAAAAAAAGCAUACCAAUAGGUAAUUAUAAAUAACCAUAAAUAAACAUAAACAAAAUAUUUAUGAAGUAAAUUACACAUGCACAUAUUAUUUUUUUGUUUUAUUUCUUACUUGUCUAUUUUAUUUGUCUAUUUUAUUUGCUGCUUGAUAACCCGUAAAUACUAAUCUAGUACUGCUAAUUUCAGACACAAAAUUUUUAACUCUAGGCUGCAGUUUUGCUCAAAAUGAUGACCACUGGCUUCGCACCAUUUAACCGGCAUACAUUUCUACAAAUUGAACAAGGCUAUUGAUUUUCAUUAUUAUUUUUUAUUUAUUUAUAAAUUACUAUUUUAAUUUUCACUUUUUAUUGGGUUGUUUACAAUUUUAUUUUAUAAUUUCAAAUUUGUAUUUUAAAAUGCAGGUACAUUAUGUAUACAUAAUUAUUGAUUUUCAUAUGUGGGUGUUUUGAAAUAUUGCUAAAAGACCAAACUUAAUAAACUAUUUUUCAUCUUUUUUUCCCUUUUUUCCUAAAGGUUGAGUGAUAUCCGCAUUUUAAAUUCAUGUGGAACAAAAGCUAAUGAAUGCACAAAAUUCUUUUAUUUUUUCCGAGAAAAAUGGGUAAGAGAAGAAGAUUUUUCUCUUGAAAAAGAAAAACUAAUACGAUGCAAACAUAGGAAAGAGGUCAGUGUUUUGGAUUAGAAUUUAUUAUUGACCUGAAUUUUAUACUAAACUCUUUUAUAGUACUGCGAUUAAUGAACUCAUGAUUUGCUUUUGCUUUUACUUCAAGUGAAAGAAAGAGGAAACCUUUUGUUUUUUGUUUGAUUCUUGACUAUAGAUGUUACCUAUAUAGAGAGUUGAGGUAGCUGCCUUAAGUGAUGGUGAUAAAAAGAUUAAGCAGCGCACAAAAUCUGACUGUCGUCCAGACCAUCCAGCUGUGAUGGCUCUAGUUUUUUGGUUACAUUAGCUUUAGUGGAAAGGAGGGCCAAUUUAACAAAGACUAGAUUUGGUGGCUUACUAUAAUGCUUAUUCUCAAGGAAUCUAAUGUUAUAAGAUGAUUUAAUGAUCUUCUAUGAUUGUGAGUAGUAUAGUAUAAUUGAAAAGAGCCUGGGCUCCUAUGAUGAAUAUUUAAUAGUAACACAAUAUUGUGAUUGAAAAAAACACUGUUACAAUAAACUCUUCAUUUAUUCAUUGCGGAUAUUGAAUGGCAAACAGAGAAUAAAAUGAAGCAGAGGAAUCUCAUUGCUAGUAAAAUUGACCCUCUUUAAUGUUAUAUGGCACAGGUGUGUGUACAGCAAGAGCAAGUGACUUGCAGUUUUUUUUUGUAAAAUAUACAGGUUAUGACCAUGAUCAUUGUAGUUAGGUUUUGAUGAUUUUAGAUGCUUUUUUUAUUUUUUUUAAAUUGUGACACCUUUGAUUUAUGGUAGUUUUGCAGAAGAAAAAAAUAUAUAAAAAAAUUAGGAAGAAUGAGUUAACUAACAAUUGCAAUCAUUACAACAAUGUUGAUGAGUGAUACAUCAUUUGAAAUUUACUUGUCAGUUGCUAAAAUGAUGAAAAAAAACAAUAAACAAUAGCAGUAAUAUUUUUAUGGAAAUUCUUGGUUUUUAUGGAAAUACUCUUGCUGAAAUUCUAAUUUUGACUUUCAACUCUUGGUUUUUAUGGAAAGUAAAAUGACUUGUUUUUUAUAUUCAUACAAUCCACUCUACAUAAUGAUUUCAUUUUAAUAAAUGCUUGAUGAUCUCCACUGAAAAACUACUUCAAUUCUUUUGUUUUAUUUAACUUUUUGGUUGUUGAAAAUAGCCUUAAUUUUCAAAUAACUGGAGAAAGAGUAAAGAACAUUUAACAAAUUUAUGUGCCAAAAAUAAAGGAGAAAUUGAAGAGAAAGGGUGCUUGCAGAAGUGGGUGCAAAGAUAAAUCAGUCUAUAAGAAUUAUUGUGGUUAUUAAUUUUUUGGCAAUAUAAAAAAUUUUCAGCAAAUAAAAAUUGAUUUUUUCCAAUUUACUAAAAAAUUAAUUAAAAACUUUGGCGAUAGCAUUUUUUGUUGGUGCAUGUACCCUCCCUUUUAAAAAAAUAUAAUAAUUAAUACUUAAUAUAAUAUUAAAUACGAAAAUAUCAAUAUUUGACUACACAAAUUUAUAUCAUUAGGUCCUUAAAAUUUAAAAUUGAAGACAUAGAAUGAAAUAUAUAAAUAUAUAUAAAUUUUAUAAUCUUAAAAUAUUUGAAAGAUUUUUUAAAACAAAUGUAAUUUUAUUUGUGUACAAUCAAUAUUUACUUAUUUAUUAUAUUUUUAUUCAUUAACUAUCAAUCAUGUGAGUAUAUCUACUUAGAAAUAUCAUAUCAAGGGAGAAUCUUGAUCCCACGCACACGCAAAUAUGUUAAUUUCUAUACGCUUCACUUACCUGUAGAAUCAAUUAUCUAAAAUGCAAGUUUGUGGCCACAAAAAAGGCCAAAGAAAGAAGAUAAUAACAAUUGACUUGUAUAUUAUACUCAUACAAUCCACUCGACAUAAUGAUAUCAUUUUAACAAGGCAAUGGCUGAUGAUCUCCAUUGAAAAACUAAUUCAUUUCUUUUGCUUCAUUUAACUUUUUGGUUGUUGAAAAUAACCUUAAUGAUCAAAUUUAUGUGCAAAAAAAAAAGGAGAAGUUGAAGAGAAAGGGUGCUUGCAGAAGUGGAUGUCAAAGAAAAAUCGGUCCAUAAGAAUUAUUGCGGUUAUUUUUUGGCAAUAUAAAAUUUUUAUAGCAUGUAAAAAUUAAUUUUUUUUCCGAUUUACUAAAAAAUUAACUAAAAACUUCUGCGACAGCAUUUUUUAUGGGUGCAUAUACCCUCCCUUUAAAAAAAAUAUAAUAAUUAAUGCUUAAUAUAGUAUUAAAUACGAAAAUAUCAAUAUUUGACAACUCAAAUUUAUAUCAUUAGGUCCUUAAAAUUUAAAAUUGAAGACACGAAAAGAAAUAUAUAAAAAUUUCAUUCUCAUGGAAAGGAUUCUCUUAUAAUCUUAUAAUAUUUGAGUUCUGAAAUUUUUUUGAAACAAAUGUAAUUUUAUUUGUGUACAAUCAAUAUUUACUUAUUUAUUAUAUUUUAAUUUAUUAACUAUCAAUCAUGUAAGUAUAUUUAGUCAGAAAAAUUAUAUCAAGAGAGAAUUCUAAUUUCACACAAACACAAAUACAAGACAAAUAUGUCAAUUUCUAUACUAUUCACUUUCCUGUAGAAUCAAUUAUCUAAAAUGGAAGUUUGUGGCUACAGCAAACUCGCCAAAGAAAGAAGAUAAUAACAAUUGAGCAUUGAUAGCAAAACUAAUGCAUCAUUUUCUUCUUGACUUGAUGAGAUGGCGCCAUUACAAAAAAACAAGUACCUUAAUUGACGGGCACUGAGUGAUGUGAAUACUACCAGCCAGUUCAUCUCUUCCAGUCUUGCUUAAUCACAAUCACAAACACCACGAGAUUGACAUUUGCAUUAUAUAUAUGUUCAGCAAUCGAAACACCUUGCAUUACCAAAUUAACCGCUAACAAACAAAGCAAUCUUUCAGGGAGAGAAACUUUAGUCUCAGUAUGAUCACUGUGUCAUUAACCCACUUCCUGCUUCUUUGCUUGGUUGUUGUAGCAGCAGCAGCAGCAAGCAACAAUAUUACCACAGACCAACAAGCUCUUCUUGCCCUGAAAGAUCAUAUAAUUUAUGAUCCGACCAACCUUUUUGCCCAUAAUUGGACCUCGAAUACCUCUGUUUGUACCUGGAUUGGCAUCACUUGUGAUGUCAAUAGCCAUAGAGUCGCAGCCUUAGAUAUUUCUCAAUUCAAUCUACAAGGCACCAUCCCUCCUCAACUUGGAAACCUCUCUUCACUCACAACGCUUAAUCUUAGUCAUAACAAGCUUUCUGGAAACGUUCCCUCCUCCAUCUACACAAUGCAUACGCUAAAAUUUCUUGACUUCACUGAUAACCAGCUCUCUGGUUCGGUGUCUUCCUUCGUCUUCAACAUGUCUUCAAUAGUAGAAAUUCGUUUGACCAAUAACAGAUUUUCUGGUGAGCUUCCGAAAAAUAUUUGCAACUAUCUUCCUUAUUUGAAAGCCCUUUUCUUAAAAAAAAACAUGUUUCAUGGCAAAAUUCCUUCUGCUUUAUCAAAGUGCAAAACUCUGCAAAUAUUAUUGUUGCAGUUCAAUAAUUUAUCCGGUGCAAUACCAAAAGAAAUCGGCAACUUGACUAUGCUCAAAGGGAUAUCUCUAUUAUGCAACAAACUCCACGGUAUGUUCAUAAUACUAUGUAAAUAUUUUAAUUUCUCACUUGUUAUUUUUCUUGAAUACUUUAGAUAAGAUCUUGUAACAGAGAUUUUUUUGCAUCUAUGUUAAUUUGCCAGGUGAGAUACCCCACGAAAUCGCUAAUCUUCGAAAUCUAGAGGCUUUAGUGCUUGGAAUGAACAACCUAGUUGGUGUGUUACCAGCUCCAAUCUUCAACAUGUCAACACUGAAGGUACUUAUCCUCAUGGAUAACUCUCUCAGUGGAAGUCUACCAUCAAGAAUAGACCUUUCACUUCCAACUGUUGAGUUUCUUGAGUUGGCACAUAAUAGAUUUUCUGGAACCAUUCCUAGUUCCAUCACCAAUGCUUCUAAGCUCACCGUUCUAGCGUUGGGAGAGAACACAUUUUCGGGCUUCAUUCCAAACACAAUUGGUAAUUUGAGAAGCCUUUUGAGGCUCAGCUUGGCUAAUAAUUACUUGAAAUCUUCAACCUCAAAAUUGAGCUUUCUUUCCGCUUUGGCAAAUUGCAAGAAAUUAAGAUUCUUAAACUUAGGAGGCAAUCCACUCGACGGUAUCCUUCCAAGUUCAAUAGGUAAUCUUUCUAAGUCUUUGGAAACACUUGUCAUCGCCAAUUGCAGUAUUAGUGGCAACAUUCCGGAAGCAGUUAGCAAUUUAAGCAACUUGUUGACCUUAGUAUUAGAACGCAAUAAAUUGACUGGACCAAUUCCAAUUACACUCGGCCUACUACAGAAACUCCAAGGCUUAUAUCUUGGAUUCAAUAUGCUGGUAGGUUCAUUCCCAGAUGAGCUUUGCCAUCUAGGUAGGCUGAAUGAAUUGGUCUUAUUUGGCAAUAAGCUUUCAGGAUCUAUACCUUCAUGCUUAAGUAACCUCACUUCUCUGAAAUCUCUCUACUUAGGGUCCAAUAGGUUUACUUCUGUUAUUCCCUCAACCUUCUGGAGCCUAAAAUACAUCUUGUUCUUUGACUUUUCAUCAAAUUUCUUGGUUGGUCCUCUUUCUUUAGACAUUGGAAAUUUGAAGGUGCUUCUAGAAAUAAACUUAUCAAAAAAUAACUUAUCCAGUGAUAUCCCAGCCACAAUUGGAGGACUGAAAGAUCUUCAAAUUAUGGACCUAGCAUAUAAUAGAUUGGAAGGCCCAAUUCCUGAAUCAUUUGGUGACUUGAUAAGUUUAGAAGUUUUGAAUUUGUCAAAUAAUAAAAUCUCUGGGUCUAUUCCAACAUCCAUGGAGAAACUCUUUUACCUUCGAGAGUUAAAUCUCUCUUUCAAUAAACUAGAAGGUGAGAUUCCUAGUGGAGGAAUUUUUGCCAACUUCACAGCUGAGUCAUUUGUGGGAAAUGAGUUAUUGUGUGGUUUACCAAAUCUUCAAGUCCAACCAUGCAAAGUUAGCAAGCCGAGGACAGAACAUAAAUCAAGGAAAAAGAUACUUCUCAUUGUGAUUGUUUUGCCAUUGAGUAUUGCUCUAACAAUAGCAAUCACUCUAGCUCUCAAAUCUAAGCUUAUUGAAUGUGGAAAGGGAAGCACAGUGUUGUCAAAUGAUGGUAUCUUGUCAUCACAAGCAACACUAAGAAGAUUUUCAUACUUAGAACUUUUACGAGCAACAGAUAAUUUUGCUGAAAACAACAUAAUUGGCAGAGGAGGUUUAGGUUCCGUUUAUAGAGCAAGACUUGAAGAUGGGAUGAAGAUUGCAAUAAAAGUGUUUCACCAGCAAUGUCCAAGCGCAUUGAAGAGUUUUGAGGCUGAAUGUGAAGUGUUAAAAAAUAUUCGCCAUCGAAACCUUAUCAAAGUUAUCAGCAGUUGCUCGAACGAUGACUUCAAAGCAUUAGUCCUAGAAUACAUGUCCAACGGGAGCUUGGGGGAUUGGUUGCAUUCGAGCAAUUACGUGCUGAAUAUUUUUCGAAGGUUGAACAUAAUGAUUGACGUUGCAUCAGCUUUAGAAUAUCUCCACUUCGAUCAUUCAACUCCUAUUAUUCAUUGUGACUUAAAGCCUAGUAAUGUAUUGUUGGAUGAAAAUAUGGUUGCUCAUUUGAGUGAUUUUGGCAUAGCAAAGCUUUUAAGUGGAGAGGAUGAGUCUACGAUGCGAACAAAAACCCUUGCCACUAUAGGUUAUAUGGCACCAGGUUUGCUUCAAACAACUUUUUUUUUUUAGUUCAUUUUAAAUUUUGCAACUUAUUGAUUUUUACGAUCCUCACAUCAAAAUGUUAUUGAUUAUUUAUCUAAUUGUGAAAUUAAUUUGAUUCAUAGAGUACGGCAUAGAAGGAGAAGUAUCUACAAAAAGUGAUGUUUACAGCUAUGGGAUUAUGUUGAUGGAAACUUUUACCCAGAAAAAACCCACAGAUGAAAUUUUUGUUGGAGAAUUGAGCUUAAAGCAUUGGGUUAAUGACUUGCUUCCUACUUCAUUAGUGGAAGUUGUGGACAAAACUCUGCUAAGUGGAGAGGAAAAACAUUCUGCAUCAAAGGGGCAAUGUCUGUUGUCUAUCUUUAGCUUGGCUCUGGAGUGUACAAUGUUAUCACCGGAAAAGAGGAUUAAUGCAAAAGAUAUUGUUACAGGAUUACUCAAGAUAAGAGACACAUUGAGUAAAAGGAUCGGAAAUUUAAGUUAAUUUCGUUUGCUUUCAUUGAUAGUUAAAUCGAAUUCAUGUAAUAAGUGUAAGAACCUUAUAUCUUUUCCUUUGAUUUUUUUUUCUUGAGAAAACUGUGGUAGUCAUCUUGUUUUCAUGGGCAGAGUUGAUUUACUUCUUCC